AGUGAACGCUGGCGGUAGGCCUAACACAUGCAAGUCGAACGGCAGCACAGUAAGAUCUUGCUCUUACGGGUGGCGAGUGGCGGACGAGUGAGGAAUACAUCGGAAUCUACUUUUUCGUGGGGGAUAACGUAGGGAAACUUACGCUAAUACCGCAUACGACCUACGGGUGAAAGCAGGGGAUCUUCGGACCUUGCGCGAUUGAAUGAGCCGAGGUCGGAUUAGCUAGUUGGCGGGGUAAAGGCCCACCAAGGCGACGAUCCGUAGCUGGUCUGAGAGGAUGAUCGGCCACACUGGAACUGAGACACGGUCCAGACUCCUACGGGAGGCAGCAGUGGGGAAUAUUGGACAAUGGGCGAAAGCCUGAUCCAGCCAUACCGCGUGGGUGAAGAAGGCCUUCGGGUUGUAAAGCCCUUUUGUUGGGAAAGAAAAGCAGCAGGUUAAUACCCCGCUGUUCUGACGGUACCCAAAGAAUAAGCACCGGCUAACUUCGUG
rnacentral:rRNA from 1 species